GACGAACGCUGGCGGCGUGCUUAACACAUGCAAGUCGAACGGAAAGGCCCUGCUUUUGUGGGGUGCUCGAGUGGCGAACGGGUGAGUAACACGUGAGUAACCUGCCCUUGACUUUGGGAUAACUUCAGGAAACUGGGGCUAAUACCGGAUAGGAGCUCCUGCUGCAUGGUGGGGGUUGGAAAGUUUCGGCGGUUGGGGAUGGACUCGCGGCUUAUCAGCUUGUUGGUGGGGUAGUGGCUUACCAAGGCUUUGACGGGUAGCCGGCCUGAGAGGGUGACCGGCCACAUGGGGACUGAGAUACGGCCCAGACUCCUACGGGAGGCAGCAGUGGGGAAUAUUGCACAAUGGGCGGAAGCCUGAUGCAGCAACGCAGCGUGCGGGAUGACGGCCUUCGGGUUGUAAACCGAUUUCGCCUGUGACGAAGCGUGAGUGACGGUAAUGGGUAAAGAAGCACCGGCUAACUACGUG
rnacentral:rRNA from 1 species